GGGGUAUUAUCAUACAGUAGGUGAGGUAUUAUCAUACAGUAGGUGGGGUAUUAUCAUACAGUAGGUGGGGUAUUAUCAUACAGUAGGUGGGGUAUUAUCAUACAGUAGGUGGGGUAUCAUCAUACAGUAGGUGGGGUAUCAUCAUACAGUA